rnacentral:rRNA from 1 species
GAUGAACGCUAGCUACAGGCUUAACACAUGCAAGUCGAGGGGUAGCACGGAAGAAGCUUGCUUCUUUGGGUGACGACCGGCGCACGGGUGAGUAACGCGUAUCCGACCUACCCAUAACUCGGGCACAGCCGCUCGAAAGAGUGAUUGAUUCCCGAUAUGUCAUUGGAGUAGAUUCAAUGAUGAAAGAUUCAUCGGUUAUGGAUGGGGAUGCGUAAGAUUAGGUAGUAGGCGGGGUAACGGCCCACCUAGCCGACGAUCAGUAGCCGGCCUGAGAGGGUGAACGGCCACAUUGGGACUGAGACACGGCCCAAACUCCUACGGGAGGCAGCAGUGGGGAAUAUUGCACAAUGGGGGAAACCCUGAUGCAGCGACGCCGCGUGAGUGAAGAAGUAUUUCGGUACGUAAAGCUCUAUCAGCAGGGAAGAAAAUGACGGUACCUGACCAAGAAGCCCCGGCUAACUACGUG